GAUGAACGCUAGCGAUAGGCUUAACACAUGCAAGUCGAGGGGCAUCACAUGAGUAGCAAUACGAUGGUGGCGACCGGCGCACGGGUGAGUAACACGUAUGCAACCUGCCCGUAACUGGGGAAUAACCCGUCGAAAGGCGGACUAAUACCGCAUAAUAAUGGUUUACUGCAUGGUGAAUCAUUUAAAGAUUUAUCGGUUACGGAUGGGCAUGCGUUCCAUUAGGUAGUUGGUAGGGUAACGGCUUACCAAGCCUACGACGGAUAGGGGUUCUGAGAGGAAGGUCCCCCACACUGGUACUGAGACACGGACCAGACUCCUACGGGAGGCAGCAGUGAGGAAUAUUGGUCAAUGGGCGAGAGCCUGAACCAGCCAAAUCGCGUGAAGGAUGAAGGUAUUAUGUAUUGUAAACUUCUUUUGUCAGGGAAUAAAGUGCGGCACGUGUGCUGUUUUGUAUGUACCUGAAGAAUAAGGAUCGGCUAACUCCGUGCCAGCCGCCGCCGUAAUAC
rnacentral:rRNA from 1 species